GAUGAACGCUGGCGGCGUGCCUAAUACAUGCAAGUCGAGCGAACAGACGAGGAGCUUGCUCCUCUGACGUUAGCGGCGGACGGGCGAGUAACACGUGGAUAACCUACCUAUAAGACUGGGAUAACUUCGGGAAACCGGAGCUAAUACCGGAUAAUAUAUUGAACCGCAUGGUUCAAUAGUGAAAGACGGUUUUGCUGUCACUUAUAGAUGGAUCCGCGCCGCAUUAGCUAGUUGGUAAGGUAACGGCUUACCAAGGCAACGAUGCGUAGCCGACCUGAGAGGGUGAUCGGCCACACUGGAACUGAGACACGGUCCAGACUCCUACGGGAGGCAGCAGUAGGGAAUCUUGCGCAAUGGGCGAAAGCCUGACGGAGCAACGCCGCGUGAGUGAUGAAGGUCUUCGGAUCGUAAAACUCUGUUAUUAGGGAAGAACAAAUGUGUAAGUAACUAUGCACGUCUUGACGGUACCUAAUCAGAAAGCCCCGGCUAACUACGUG
rnacentral:rRNA from 1 species